CUGGCGGCGUGCCUAAUACAUGCAAGUCGAACGCACUCUCGUUUAGAUUGUAAGGAGCUUGCUCCUGAUUGAUAAACAUUUGAGUGAGUGGCGGACGGGUGAGUAACACGUGGGUAACCUGCCCUAAAGUGGGGGAUAACAUUUGGAAACAGAUGCUAAUACCGCAUAAAACCUAACACCGCAUGGUGUAGGGUUGAAAGAUGGUUUCGGCUAUCACUUUAGGAUGGACCCGCGGUGCAUUAGUUAGUUGGUGAGGUAAAGGCUCACCAAGACCGUGAUGCAUAGCCGACCUGAGAGGGUAAUCGGCCACACUGGGACUGAGACACGGCCCAGACUCCUACGGGAGGCAGCAGUAGGGAAUCUUCCACAAUGGACGAAAGUCUGAUGGAGCAACGCCGCGUGAGUGAAGAAGGUUUUCGGAUCGUAAAACUCUGUUGUUGGAGAAGAAUGUAUCUGAUAGUAACUGAUCAGGUAGUGACGGUAUCCAACCAGAAAGCCACGGCUAACUACGUG
rnacentral:rRNA from 1 species